rnacentral:piRNA from 1 species
UCACUUUCAACUGGUGAUCGAGCGAUGC